AAGUCGUAACAAGGUUUCCGUAGGUGAACCUGCGGAAGGAUCAUUACUGAGUAAAGGUCGCUAAAUUUAGUGCCUAACUCCGCCCUUUGUCGUCAUUCAAAUUUAUUCAUCAUUUUGGCUGAAGCGUGAUACCGUUAGUAUUUCAAUUAUCAUAAGGGACCGCACUGAUAGUGUAUGCUAUGAGUGAGUCUUUGCCAAAGGCUUCUCCAAACUCUUUAUUAUUCUUGUUGUCUGAGUAAAAUGAAAAUAAAUCAAAA
rnacentral:misc_RNA from 1 species